rnacentral:rRNA from 1 species
AUUGAACGCUGGCGGCAUGCUUUACACAUGCAAGUCGAGCGAGCGGCGGACGGGUGAGUAAUAUAUCGGGACCUGCCUGAUGGCGGGGGAUAACUACUGGAAACGGUAGCUAAUACCGCAUACCAUCAGAGCAGCCGAUAUGGGAUUAGCUUGUAGGUGGGGUAAAGGCUCACCAAGGCAACGAUCCCUAGCUGGUCUGAGAGGACGAUCAGCCACACUGGGACUGAGACACGGCCCAGACUCCUACGGGAGGCAGCAGUGGGGAAUAUUGCACAAUGGGGGAAACCCUGAUCCAGCCAUGCCGCGUGUAUGAUGAAGGCCUUCGGGUUGUAAAGUACUUUCGGUAGAGAAGCGUUACCGGCAGAAUAAGCACCGGCUAACUACGUGCCAGCAGCCGCGGUAAUAC